AAGUCGUAACAAGGUUUCCGUAGGUGAACCUGCGGAAGGAUCAUUAAUGAAAUUUAUGAAUCGUGGUUGUAGCUGGCCCGUAAAAACGGCACGUGCACGCCCCUUUCACUAAUCCACACACACCUGUGCACCUUUGCGGGGGUUCCUGGGAGUUCGACGCAAGUCGUUAGUACCGGGAGCUCGCGUCCCUUUACACACCCCUUUUGUAUGUCUUAAGAAUGUCUACUCGAUGUAAUAAAACGCAUCUAAUACAACUUUCAACAACGGAUCUCUUGGCUCUC
rnacentral:misc_RNA from 1 species